UACGGGGGGAGCAAGCGUUGUUCGGAUUUACUGGGCGUAAAGGGCGCGUAGGCGGUCGUGACAAGUCACUUGUGAAAUCUCCGGGCUUAACUCGGAACGGUCAAGUGAUACUGUCGGACUAGAGUACAGAAGGGGCAACUGGAAUUCUCGGUGUAGCGGUGAAAUGCGUAGAUAUCGAGAGGAACACCUGCGGCGAAGGCGGCUCACUGGCCCGGUACUGACGCUGAGGUGCGAAAGCGUGGGGAGCAAACAGG
rnacentral:rRNA from 1 species